UACCUUAGAUGGGAUAACUUGGGAAAUGAGGAUAUACUGGAUAGGCAAUUAUUCCUGGAAUGGAUUUUUGUUUAAAUGUUUUUUCGCCUAAGGAUGGGUCUGCGGCCGAUUAGGUAGUUGGUUAGGUAACGGCUUACUAAGCCAUUGAUCGGUACGGGUUGUGAGAGCAAGAGCCCGGAGAUGGAACCUGAGACAAGGUUCCAGGCCCUACGGGGUGCAGCAGGCGCGAAACCUCCGCAAUGUGAGAAAUCGCGACGGGGGGAUCCCAAGUGCCAUUCUUAACGGGAUGGCUUUUCAUUAGUGUAAAGAGCUUUUGGAAUAAGGGCUGGGCAAGACCGGUGCCAGCCGCCGCGGUAACACCGGCAGCUCUAGUGGUAGCAGUUUUUAUUGGGCCUAAAGCGUCCGUAGCCGGUUUAAUAAGUCUCUGGUGAAAUCCUGUAGCUUAACUGUGGGAAUUGCUGGAGAUACUAUUAGACUUGAGACCGGGAGAGGUUAGAGGUACUCCCAGGGUAGAGGUGAAAUUCUGUAAUCCUG
rnacentral:rRNA from 1 species